GCUGGCUCUCCGGCGUCAGGCACCAACUCCCCAAGACCUGUAGAAUUCCCGGCCAGGAAGACAACUCAGCAGACUCCCGAGCUGCUCCUCCUCGGCGGGAAUCCCUGGCCAAGUCUCUGAGAGCAACACAACACACUGCGCCAUCGACGAGAUGGAACUCACCCGAAGGGGAAGCAUCGAGAGAGGGAGAAAGACAGAAAAAGAAGGGGAGAAAUACACGUGAUAUCAACGUAUUGAACCAGCGCGCGAGAGAGGGCCGGGGCAGAGAGAGGGAGAGGGAGAGAGAGAGAGAGAGAA